GAUGAACGCUGGCGGCGUGCCUAAUACAUGCAAGUCGAGCGAACAGACGAGGAGCUUGCUCCUCUGACGUUAGCGGCGGACGGGUGAGUAACACGUGGAUAACCUACCUAUAAGACUGGGAUAACUUCGGGAAAGCGGAGCUAAUACCGGAUAAUAUAUUGAACCGCAGGGUUCAAUAGUGAAAGACGGUUUUGCUGUCACUUAUAGAUGGAUCCGCGCCGCAUGAGCUAGUUGGUAAGGUAACGGCGUACCAAGGCGACGAUGCGUAGCCGACCUGAGAGACUGGUCGGCCACACUGGAACGGAGACACGGACCAGACUCCUACGGGAGGCAGCAGUCGGGAAUCUUCCGCAACGGGCGAAAGCCUUACGGAGCAACGCCGCGUCAGUGACGAAGGUCUUCGGAUCGUAAAACUCUGUUAUUAGGUAAGAACAACUGUGUACGUAACUAUGCACGUCUUGACGGUACCUAAACAGAAAGCCACGGCUAACUACGUG
rnacentral:rRNA from 1 species